AUGAUACAUUUUAGAUCUCCCACAUUUUUCCCUUGGAGAUUUAUCAGGAGAUGGUGUAGAGGUUUGCAUAUAUUGGAGCUCUCAGACUUGAAGAAGGAUAUAGAACCCUCAUUGGAUAUAAACUCCAUAUCAUGUCUCACAUAUCCAAGCCAAGUGUGCCAAGAUGAACCCUGUAUGUCCUUGUAAGUGCUUUUCUAUGACUAGAAGCUUUAGAAGACAAAAAAAAAAAAAAAAAAAAAAACCUUGUAAGUGCCAUGUUCCUUUGUGUGCUCAUAAGGUUGUUUUAAAACGUCCUUUAAUUUAGAAACAAGAUAUGGCACACUUUUAAAAAACUUAAUUUAGUGAUACCAAAAAUUUUAACACAUUUUUCUGUCAGGUGUUCUUUGAAAACUAAAUUUCUGCAGCGACUUGAACUUUGC
rnacentral:lncRNA from 1 species